CUGAUGAUUGAGCACCCCUCAAGGUUCUCCAUUCCCUCUGGGCUCAUUUAAGGGCUGGACUCAAAAGGAAGAAUGUCUUCUAGAUGAGGGCUCCUUGAGGAGUACUCUGUACCUAGAGACCCUAUUGUCAAUUAGAACGGAAAAGUCACAGCACUCCAGUCUAUUGUAUCUUGACAGCUCCAGACCCACUGAUGCAGCAGUCAUAUUUCUAGACCUAAAUUCAGUCCAGACAUGAGCAGGCACCAGCUUUUGGAAGACAUUUAUACCAGAUGUGUACAGAAUCUGUGAAGCAACUGUUGUACCAGCAAGUCCAUCUGCUGUUUGGUCUACUUCUGUUUGCCAUGUGUGACAUCCUGAACAUCAGCACAGCAUUCAGUCAGGAAAGUCAACAGUGUCGGAGUGCUGCUCAGUUAUUGUGGUUUGAAAAUCAUAAAGUGCAAUUAAAGAAUACUAACUUGACUCUGAAAAAA